rnacentral:lncRNA from 1 species
AUGGAAGUGCUGGCCCUGUCCUGGCUCCUGGAAGCUGCUCAGCCCAGCCCGCACCUCCUCCGGGCAGGACUCCACAGCCUCCUCUGGGCUCGCCGAAAACCCUGUCCUUGCCUCAACAGUGAGCUCCUCAUGGCAGAAGGUAAGGGAGGGUUUAAAUCCAUGGUCAGGGGUUUUCUCCAAGAGCAGGAGCCAUGCUCCUCCCCUGGGCCCUCAGCCUGGGGCCCCAGAGCAGGUGGACACUCCGACUGCUUUACUGUCCUCUCUGCACCUCAUCUCCACACAUGCGGGCGUAGAGAGGGAGUGGGGGGACAUCCACACCAUGUGACAUUUGUGUGGCCCUUGCUAUACACGAGUCCUUCUAGCGUGGGUCUCAGCUUGACAACAACCUCCCAAGGCAGGUACUCUGAGUUCCUUCUUCAGACAAAUUCGCCCCCUCCCAGGUGGACACCAGGGGACCUGCUUCCCAUUGUCCUUGCCUCUUCGAUGGCCACCCUUCGGGCUGCCAAGCCUUCCCAUCUCUGGCACAGUCUUGGCUCUUUUACCCUUUCCCCCCAUUUCUGUCAUGUCCCAGAUCUGGGGCGCGGGGCGGGGGGUUGACCAACAGGCCUGACGAUGAGACAGUGAAGUCUGACCCCUUCCCCGAGUGCAGGCCUUCGUGCAUCCUGAACUCAUCCUGAGGCUUAGGGAGCCCCCUCUCCGCUGAGCAGGC